rnacentral:rRNA from 1 species
GACGAACGCUGGCGGCGUGCUUAACACAUGCAAGUCGAACGGAAAGGCCCUGCUUGCAGGGUACUCGAGUGGCGAACGGGUGAGUAACACGUGGGUGAUCUGCCCUGCACUUCGGGAUAAGCCUGGGAAACUGGGUCUAAUACCGGAUAGGAGCCAUUUUUAGUGUGAUGGUUGGAAAGUUUUUUCGGUGUAGGAUGAGCUCGCGGCCUAUCAGCUUGUUGGUGGGGUAAUGGCCUACCAAGGCGGCGACGGGUAGCCGGCCUGAGAGGGUGGACGGCCACAUUGGGACUGAGAAACGGCCCAGACGCCUACGGGAGGCAGCAGGGGGGAAUAUUGCACAAUGGGCGCAAGCCUGAUGCAGCGAAGCCGCGUGGGGGAUGACGGCCUUCGGGUUGGAAACUCCUUUCGCGAGGGAAGAAGCUUUUUGUGAAGGUACCUAGAUAAGAAGCACCGGCUAAAUACGUG